rnacentral:misc_RNA from 1 species
AAUAAUAAUAUAAAAUGAAAGAAAAAUAGAAAAGGAAGACAUGAUCCUAGUAUGAGUAAGAACAAUAGAGUGCAAUCCCAUGCACUUCUCAAGAGAAGUGGCAGAGGUGGGCAGCAGAAAAAUUUCCUUAGCACAUGCCAUCAUAAUAAGUUGCAAAAAAACAUUUUAAAUAUCACUCAUCCCAGUGACCCAUCUUAAACCAAAAGACUUAUACCGUUAACAACUGAACUUUUCAACUCAGAUAAGAACAUAAAUAAGGAAAAUUUCCAUAUUAAUAUGCAAUCGACUUAUUUGCAAAAAUAAAUACAAUAAAAGGCAUCAUAAUCAUGAAAAUAGCCACUCAAGUUCAAUAAGAAAAUACUUUUAUUGGCAACACAAAGGUAAGAUAACGAUAGUCUUUACAAGCGUCAUCAUAAUUGCGCAGCUUAGCUUGCCUCUUGUUAUACUUACCAAGACCAUAAUCAAUAUGCAGCUCCAUGGAUAAGACAAUCAGCAUAGGUGAAUUUUACUACAUUCACCUAGAUAACCAUUUGCCGAAAAACAAUUAGAUGCCACAACAAACAUACAAUCAAUGCACCAGACAUAAUUUUAACAACAAAUAAAAGGACAAAAUGCACAAAAUUCCAACCUGGCUUGACAGCAGUUUGCUGCGAAGAGAUGAACACCAAUGCCAUAUUUAGACUUAGUUGUGGAUGGUCCACAAUGUCCAAGU